UAUCAUAUAUAAAAUUGAGUGCUACAAUAAUUGUUCAUACACUCCUCUUCAUAUUCCAAGACCACUAUUCACGUCUAAUCAGUAGUUUAUCUUUAAUGCAUUUUAAAACCUUAGCAUUUAAUCUUCUUUUUUUACAAAGAGUUGUAAGGAUUUUCUAUUUCAUCAACUCCAUACUUAUAAUUUUCUCUUCACUUCUUCAACUUCCCCAUUACUUUCAAGCUUAGUUCAUCUCAGG
rnacentral:lncRNA from 1 species